AGCAGCCGCGGUAAUUCCAGCUCCAAUAGCGUAUAUUAAAGUUGUUGCAGUUAAAAAGCUCGUAGUUGAAUUUCGGGAUCAAUACGUCGGUCGUGCCUCUGGUAUGUACUGGUGUUAUUGAUUUCUCCCUUCUGAUGAACCAUGAUGUCAUUAAUUUGGUGUUGUGUGGAGUCAGGACUGUUACUUUGAAAAAAUUAGAGUGUUUGAAGCAGGCUCACGCUUGAAUACAUUAGCAUGGAAUAAUGAAAUAGGACGUUCGAUCCUAUUUUGUUGGUUUCUAGGAUCAACGUAAUGAUUAAUAGGGAUAGUUGGGGGCAUUAGUAUUCAAUUGUCAGAGGUGAAAUUCUUGGAUUUAUUGAAGACUAACUACUGCGAAAGCUUUUGCCAAGGUGUUUUCAUUAAUCAAGAACGAAAGUAAGGGGAUCGAAGACGAUCAGAUACCGUCGAGUCUUAACAUAAACUAUUCCGACUAGGGAUCGGAUGUGUAAUUUUUAAUGACUCAUUCGCGCUUACGG
rnacentral:rRNA from 1 species